GAUGAAGAACGUAGCGAAAUGCGAUAAGUAAUGUGAAUUGCAGAAUUCAGUGAAUCAUCGAAUCUUUGAACGCACACUGCGCCCCUUGGUAUUCCGAGGGGCAUGCCUGUUCGAGCGUCAUUAUAACCCCUCAAGCUCAGCUUGGUGUUGGGGCCUGCUGCACUGGCAGCCCUUAAAAUCAGUGGCGGCGCCAUCUGGCUCUAAGCGUAGUAAUUCUUCUCGCUAUGGAGUCCUGGUGGAUGCUUGCCAUCAACCCCCAAUUUUUCUAUGGUUGACCUCGGAUCAGGUAGGGAUACCCGCUGAACUUAAGCAUAUCAAUAAGCGGAGGA
rnacentral:misc_RNA from 1 species